AGCUGAGGCUGAAGCGCGCGGGCCGCCGAGCGGGUGGCGCCUCUCCGCGAGGCCCGCGUCUCUGCAUUCCUGUCUUCACCCCCGGUGCCUCCCGGCCUGGGUGCCCGCGAGCGCCGCAGGGUCUCCUCAGACGUGUGGCCCGGGGCAGGCGCGGAGCCAGCACCUCCUGGGGCUUCCAUGAUGGUCGCUGUGCUGUCGACUCCAACAGCGGCUGGCCGGCGCUAGGCUCCGCGGGCCGGGCAGGGCGCAGCAGGCAGGGCCGCAGCCCUGGUUUUUUAAACCUGGAGACCCUCUGCUCCCUGAUGGUGGAAGUGCCCUGCCAAGGUGACACGAUUUGUUCCUGUCAGACCUGCACUUGGGAGCCGGGCCUUUUUUUUUUUUUUUUUUUUAAAGAUUUAUUUAUUUGAAAGAGUGGACACAGAGGGGACAGAGAGAGACAGAGAUCUUCCAUCUAUGGGUCCACUCUCCAAAUGGCCGCAACGGUCAGGACUGGGCCAGGCAGAAGCCAGGAGCCAGGAGCUCCAUCUGGGUCUCCACCACGUGGGUGGCAGGGGCCCAGGCCCUGAGGUCAUCUGCUGCUGCUUUCCCACGUGCAUCAGCAGGGAGCUGGAUCAGCAGCGGGACUUGAACCAGUGUUCCAGUGUGGGAUGUUGGCAUUGCAAGCGCGGCUUAACCUGCUGCGCCACAGCGCUGGCCCUGGGGAUCCAGGUGAUGUGCACGACUUUAAAUUCUACAAGGAGAAGGACAGUGUCUAUUUUUUGCUCAUUCAUGAGCAUGUUUCCCAAGCAACCAGUACAGCCUAUAAUUUGGAAGUGGCACAGUGCAGAGCACAGCACAGCACAAUUUGCAUCUGGACCAGCCUGCGUGAGAUCCCGGAUUGGCCAUGGACUAGCUGUGUGGCUGCAGCAAGUAGAACAACCUCUCAAAGCUUCUCACUGGCCCACCUAGCAAGUGGAGUGUCACACACACAGUAAUGCAUACUCGGUGCCUGGUGCAGCGUAGGGGGUGGAUUCCUCGCCUGCAAAUUUCCUCUUCCGUGUGUCUUUGUGGGUUGAUGGAGUGAUUCAUGGUUAUUUGCCCAUGUAGGAGUGGUUGAGUUUUACAGCACACACACACGCACACACACACACAUGGAAAUGUGAGUGCAGGAGCAUCCCCAUGGAAUAUUAACUAAGACAUCUGCUUUCACAGCUUGUCUGCACAAAGGGUUGUUUGUGGAUCCUAGGCGCGUUGAUAUGAUAUGUGGCUGGGUAUCCAAGCACUACUUGGUCCCAGGUGGAACCUCUGACGCUGACAGAACCCUGUCAUGGUCCUGACCACAGACUUUCCAUAGCAUCCUGGAUGACAAAACUCCUCCUCUGUUCUUUCAGAAGUGUACCUCCUUGCACUUGAUUUUAAAAAAAAAUGGCUAGUUAAAGGAACCCCAAACUGCCUACCCUAAGCUGCCCCUGAGUGUUUUUCUACAUCUGUCCGUGGAGGGUGUCCAGUGUCCCUUCCCUGAGUUGCUCCUUUUCUGGAAACGUGGAACAGGCUGAGUGUGCAUGGCCUGCAGAGACGGUGCCUUCCUCUCGUGCUGCUCGUUCUCCGGAUGCUCCCGACACAGUCGUUUCUCAGCACCUUUAUGUGAAGGGUGAAGAGAGGGGAGAGGACUUCUGUGCAGCUGCCUGCCUGAACUGCAUUUGUUUUUAUUUGAGACACACACACACACAUUCACACACUCACACACAUGCACACAUGCACACAUCCCAAGCAAGCUCCCAUCUGCUGGUUCACGCCUCAAAUACCCUAAAUGGCAGGACUUGGGCCAGGUGAAGCCAGAACCCAGAAACUCCAUCUGAGUCUCCCGUGAGGAUGGCAGGAAUCCAGUCCCCUGAGCCAUCACCACCAUCCGUCUCCCGGGGUGCACAGUACCAAGAAACUGUAGUCAGGAGUGGGAGGAGGGGUCAAACCCAGGCACUCCGCUGUGGGCGUGGUUGUCUUGGCUGGUAUCUGAACACCUAGGCCAAAUGACUGCCGGGUUGAACUGCAUUUAGAUGGAUCCUGGGCUUUGGAGUCAGACACACCUAGGGUUAAGUCUUGGCUAACAUGUACUCACCUUAAGCGGAUGCUUUAAUCUUUUUGCACCUCAGUUUUCUUGUCUGUAAAAUGGGAGGGAAGAGCAUUACCACCUCAGAAGGUUGUUAGAAUUUUGUUUUUAAAAAUUGUUUAUUUAUUUAUUUCAAAGGCUGAGAGAAAGAGGAGAGAGAGAGAGAGAGAGAGAGAGAAUUUCUAUCUUCUGGUUCAUGCCCCAAAUUCCUACAACAUCCAAGGCUGGACGAGGCUGAAGCCAGGAGCAAAGAAUUCAAUCCAGGUCUCCCACAUGGGUGGUAGGGACCCAUCACUUGCUGCCAGGGUGCACAUUAGCAGGAAGCUAGAUAGGAAGCAGAGCUGGGACUUGAACUCAGGCACUCUGAAAUGGGAUUAGGGGAUCCUAAGAGGCGUCUUAACUGCUGUGCCAAGUGCCUAUCCGGUUGUUAGGAUUAAAUGCUGCAGUGUGGUAUCAGCAUCCAAGAUGGAGCAGUGUCCCACUUGGCAACGUCCCUUCCUCCUUCCUGUCAGUUUUUCAGAGGUCUGUUCAAAAGGUGAGUUAAUGAGGUGAUUCUGGAUGGCCAUCUAUAGCCUAAGAGGACUGCUCAUCUUCAGGUACCUGUGGGCAGUGGGCAACUCAGGUUCUUGGGACCAGAUUGGCCAAGCAAAGCAGAACAGGCAGCAAAGCUGGGGUAGCUGAAGCCGAGGAGGCUCCCUCAGUAGCUCAUGGGGCUACGCCUUCCUAUUUGUCCCUUCUCACCAUGGUCAUUUUGCAGUUGUGGCUGCAGUGGACUGGACAAGACUUCCUUGCCUCCCAGUGUGCAGGUGACAUCACAUGGGCACGGCGGACUUGCAGGUGUGGGGAUGGCUGCUUGGUUGAGACUUCAGUCAGCCAAGUGGUGCUUGCUUCAGGCUGUGCAUCCCCACCCCCUCCCCUACUCCUCGGGCCAUUGUGACACCCCUGCCCUUUGGAGGUCAGCUUACUGGGAAGAUCUCGGGUCUUUGGGUCAGACCACAAGUUUGGGCUCACGGACCUCAUGUGUGCCUUCUGACCACUGGCUAGCCUGUCAGAGUCUCACUUUCCUCCUCUGUGAAAUAAGGGGAUUAUGCAUCUUUCAAUGGGUCCAAAAUGUCUUGCGUGGAGGCCUACUUUGGUGGCUGCCACAGGGACAUCACAGAGAAGGAGUUCUGUGCCAAGACGGGUACAGGCUGCACAGGGUCAGGUGAAGGUAAGACCCAUGGUCCCCUUUACCAUGGGACUUCUCUGCCUGUAACAUGAAUCUUCAAAGGGGGGGGGGAUUAAUAGUCAACAUUUCCAAAUCAUAUUACCAUGUCUGUUUGUUUAUUUGCUUUGGCAAACAUAACAUUUUGACAUGAAAGGUGCUGUAAUGUAAUGGUUAGCACAGUGGUGGUUUAGACCUGGAAGCCAGGGGCUUGAGUGUUAGCCCCACCAAGGCCACUUACUGGUUGUGCCAGCUACUUCCUGCUGUGUAACAAAUGACCACACAGCAGAGGCUAUGGCUGUUAUCUCACGGUUGCUGUGGGUCUGCAAUCCAGGAGAGUGGAGCUGAGUCCUAACUUCAGUGCCUCCCAGUAGCCUUCAAUCAGGGUGUUGGUCAGGGUCAGGGUCUUAUCUGAGGUCUAUACUGAGGAGAGGUCUGCUCCCAAGUCCAGAUGAUUGUUGGCAGGAUCCACUUCCAUGUGGGCUGCUGGCUGGAGUCUCCCCUUGGUUUCUUGCUAUGGGGGCCUCUGCAACACAGCAAGAGGGGCUGCUAGCAAGAGGGAAGUCGCAGUCUCAUGUGGCCUGAUCACAGGACAGCCAUCACCUGUGCCAUCACCUGUGCCAUAGCCUCUUGGUUAGCAGCAGUCACUAGGCCAGCCCACACUCAAGUGGAGAAGACUGUGCAAGGGCAUGGAUACCAGGAGGUGUGUGUCAUUGGGGGCCAUCUAAGAGUAUGCCUGUCACGCCAGCUGGGGGACUCUGGGCAAUGACUUAACUUUGCCCAUCUGUAAAAUGGGGAUGAUAAAGGUACAUCUUCUUCAUAAGGUGGUUGUGAUUCAGUGAGUAUAAACAAAGCAAUGUCUGGCAAAUGCCAGGCCUUCUGCAAAUCUUUGCUUUUGUUAAUACCUGAAUCAGCAUCUGGCACAGAGACAGUGCAGUAAACCUUGGUCGAGUGGUUGAAUCCAGGAAUGACUUGCAGGACAUGGAUCUCACUUGGGGAAAUGCUGCCCCACUUAAAAUUGCUGCAAGGAUUAGGCGCAAUAAACUGCAGGAGGCCCCAGCACAUACCAGGCUCUGAGCCGAUGUCAUUUGCCCUCCCACUUCCAGAUGUAGAUAUUCAUACUGAGAUUUGAAGGCCCAGGGAGGUCAGGCCCAGCUCCCCUCUGUUCACUUCCUGUCUCCCUCUCUCUCUCUUUUUCCCUCCCCCUCCCCCUCUCACUUUUCUUUUCUUCCCCCUCUCCUGCACCAAUGGUAAUUUUCUCAGCAGAUGGCCUUGUAUGGUGCCACCAGCAUUUAAAUGCUUCAUCAGAGUGGCUCUGCAUGUGGCUGCCAAUAACAAUGAAUUGGACUUCAGAGGCCUGAGCAGCAAUGGAAAUGAGGUAAAUGGGGGAAAAGAAAAGAAAGGUCUGAAGAAGUGGAAGAAAAGGACCCAGGAAGACUAUUUUGAAGAGCGAUGCAUUGUGAUGCAGCGGGUUAAGCUGCCGCCUGAGACACCAGUAUCCUAUAUGAGCAUUGGCUGUUCCACUUCCAAUCCAGCUCCCUGCUAAUGUACCCAGGAAAGCAGUAGAAGAUGACCCAAGUGCUUGGGCUCCUGGAAUAAACUCCUGGCCUUUGGCCCACCAUUCAUUGUGGCCAUCUAGGGAGUGAACCAGUGGAUGGAAGGUCUCUCUCUCUUUUUCUGUAACUAACUCUGCCUUUAAAAUAAAUAAUAAAAUUUUUUUUAAAAGAGCAAUGCUAUUUCUUCUUCAUGUACCUGAAAGUUUUGAGUUUUUUUUAAAUUUUUAAUUUUAUUUAUUUAUUUUUUGACAGGCAGAGUGGACAGUGAGAGAGACAGAGAAAGGUCUUCCUUUACUGUUGGUUCACCCUCCAAUAGCCGCUGCAGCUGGCGUGCUGCUGCCGGCGCAUCGUGCUGAUCCGAAGCCAGGAGCCAGGUGCUUCUCCUGGUUUCCCACGCGGGUGCAGGGCCCAAGCACUUGGGCCAUCCUCCACUGCACUCCCUGGCCACAGCAGAGAGCUGGCCUGGAAGAGGGGCACCCGGGACAGAAUCCGGUGCCCCGACCGGGACUAGAACCCUAGGUGCUGGUGCCACAGGGGGAGGAUUAGCCAAGUGAGCCGUGGCACCGGCCUUGAGCUGUUUUAAAAACCAUUCUUACGAUUUUAAAAACAUAGACCCACUUUUUCUCUCCCAUCUUAGCUGCUCUUAAUCUCUAUAUUAAAAAACAGAGGUUCUUUCCAGUCUUCUGCACUGCAAAUACUUGCCCGGUACCUACAUUGAAGUGAAUUAAAACUGAUUUGCUUUUCAACUUCCAUGUGGCCUCUUGAGUUAAUAAAAGCAGCCAACAUCUGUCAGGUGCUCUGCAUUUGCAAAGUGCUUUCACACGUGUUACACUUGAAUCUUGCAGCAACCUGGCAAGGUGGGGGCUACCAUUGUCUUUAUUUUACACUGGAGAGAGAAGUAGGGGUGGCUGGAGGGAUGCGAUCCUAACAGAUGGCAGCAUUAGGACCUGAUCACAGUAUUUAACUGCAAGCCAAGGCCUCCCUCCGGCCCUGUCACCCACAGGCAGCUGAAACUAACAGGAGCUUAUUUAUAAAAAUUGUGGGAGCCAGACUCAGGCCAUUAUAUAUGAGGGGGUUUCAACAGGCUUGUGGGAAAGUGGAAUGAAAUGUUUAUUUUGGUGCAAGAAGAUUUUAAAUCCGUGCCUAGUCUUUUCAUACUGUGCAUUUUCUACAGGCUUUUUUUUUUUUAAGAUUUAUUUAUAAGGCAGAGUUAUAGAGAGGCAGAGGCAGAGAGAGAGAGAGAAAGAGGGGUCUUCCAUCCACUGCUUCACUCCCCAAAUGGCCACAAAAGCCAGAGCUGGGUUGAUCUGAAGCCAGGAGCUUCUUCCGGGUCUCCAUGUGAGUGCAGGGGCCCCAGCAUUUGGGCCAUCUUCUACUGCCUUCCCAGGUAAGAGGAGCAGCUGGGACUUCAGCCAGUGCCCACAUGGGAUGCCAGCACUGCAGGCGGUGGCUUUACCCGUUCUGCCACAGCACCAGCCCCUCUAUAAGCUUUUUGAAGACUCCUUGUAUAUCAACAUCCUCUGUUGGUUGCUACUGGGUGAACAAUCAGCAUCUUUAAUUUUUUUUUUUAAGAUUUAUUUAUUUGACAGAAGAAAGGAGGAGGAGGGAGGGAUCUUUCAUCUUUGGUUCACUUUCUGUAUGGCCAGAUCUGAGCCUAAGCCAAGAGCCAGGAACUCCAAUUGAGUCUCCCAUAUGCAUGGGGCCCAAGUACUUGGGCCAACUUCUCCUAUUUCCCAGGUGCGCUAUUAGCAGGAAGGUAGAUCAAAAGUGAAACAGCUGAUGCCGAUGCUGGUGUCCCAAGCAGCAGCUUCACCUGCUGCACCACGACGCCUGCCCCUAACAUCUUUUGUUCUGAGAAGCAGUUUGCAAACUCUUCCUGCUGGACCGCUGUGAGUCUUCAAGGCCGCCCUCCUAUUUUAAGUUGUCUUCCCCCAACAGCACAGGAGGGUUUGAUUGAAGCCAGGCAGGGGAAGACGAGUGGCUCUGGAGCUGCGUCCCUGGCUUGCCAGGAAGGCUCUCCACAUCCGCUGGCUUCUGUCUCAUAGGCUGCUGUCCCCUGCACAGCAGGCUGGGUGCUGGCUGUGAUGCCAGCCACUGGGCGCGGGUCCAGAGAGCCUCAGGCUGCUCCUGCUCCUCCAGUGCCAAGAGAAGAGCCAGCUGCAACUGCCUCUGAAAACCUUCUCUUUAGGGAGGGGCUGAGCAUGGGCACUGCUUUCACCUGGAGUUAUGAUGCAUCAGGGACUUCGAGGCAGCCUUCCCCAUGUCCAUGUUGCUUUGGUCCAGUGGUUCUCAACCAAGAGUGAUACCACUUCCUACCCUCCAAUGUCUGGAGAGAGUUUUUGGGUCACAGGGUAGCAGAGAGAAGGGACUGCUAGUGACAUCUAAAUUGCCCCCCUUACAACACAGAAUUACCAAAUUCAUUCUGUUCGUAGUGCUGAGCUUGAGAAAUCCUGCUUAGCCCCCUCUUCAUUUAGGGGGCUCUAAGCAUCUGGGGGUCUAGGUGGAAGAAGAUGGCAACGGAGUAGUUGUCUAUGCCUCUUCCUCAGGAUACUCCCCAUUCCUCCCCCUCCCCCUGGUCAUCCAGCCCCCCUUUGCUUUAAUUCUGUUUUAAGCCACCACUGUCUGCCAGGGCAGCAGCACCUUCCCCAUCGUUUCCAUGCCUGGCCUGCCUUUGGCUGUGGCCUUGAUGGCUCUGGUUGGGAAUUCAUGUGAUACUGUUUGGAGAGAGUCAUAUUUUUUACAGCAACAUAACCCAUUUUACCUCUGUAGUAAUUGUUUUGGAAUAAGAAGUAAUCAUCCAGGACUGACCAACUUGCUUUACUAAGCGCUCCUUUCUCACUCCUGGCAAAUUGCUUUGAGAAUUGAACAAAGCCCGGCUCAAUCAUGCAGCAUAUCCAUUCCAAAGGAUGCCAGGGAAGUAAAUCUCUGGUAAGCCAGCCCCAGUCAUGCCUCCUCCUCCCUUUUGCUGGGGAUCAAACAGGGAGUGUGUGCUUCACUCUCCAUGCCCCCUUGUUUUGGAACUGGGUACCUUAAGCCUGGGGCUUGACCGGAGUGUUUUGGGUGCCCACGGGCCUGCUCAGGAGACCUGUAGUCUGGGCUGCACGGCAGCUUCGGGUCCUCAGGCAGAUGGCGGCACUUUUCUUGUGGCUGUAGAACUUAAUCUAUGGAUGUGUCUCUCUGAUGUGGGUGCUGUGAAAUGUGAAAUGGGUACUGACCGAAAAAGUAGUCAAAUGGGUUGGACCACUUGCGUUCUUUCCUGCGGGCCUUCCCAAGGUCUUCUCGCUGUUAGUGAGCUGGGUGAAUUGUCAAGGGGAGGUUACAGCACAUGGAAUUCCCAAUUUUUUUUUUUUUUUUCCUGUGGAGUAUCUCCCAGGAUUAACCAUCUGCUGAAAAGGACUUUGGAACAUUUGGGAAUGGGAAGAACCAGAUCUCAUCUCCUUUUUGUCCCUCCUCCCCUCUUUUCCCUUCUCUUCCUCUCCUUGAAAUCAAGAUCUUUUGUUGAGUGGGAUUUAGAAUCCUUCAUCUCAAGGACUUCAAAAGUGCUUCCCUUGGGCCAGCACUGUGGGGUAGUAAGCUAAGCCUCCGCCUUCAGUGCUGGCAUCCCAUAUGGGCACCGGUUCGUGUUCCCACUGCUCCUCUUCUGAUCCAGCUCUCUGCUGUGGCCUGGGAAAGCAGUAUAAGGUGGCCCUUGGGCCCCUGCACCCGUAUGGGAAACCCAGAGGAAGCUCCUGGCUCCUGGCUUAGAGUCAGUCUAGCUCCGGCCAUUGUGGCUGUUUGGGGAAUGAACCAGUGGAUGGAAGACCUUUUUCUCUGUCUCUCCCUCUCUCUAUCUGUAACUCUGCCUCUCAAAUAAACAGAUAAAUCUUUAAAAAAAAUGCUGCCCUCUUUCCUAUGGGAACUUCAUUUCAUCUACUCCACUAAGCUAAUUCCUACUUUCUCAUCUUCCAGGGCUCAGCUUAAGCAUUACAUCAUUGGAAAAGGUUUUCCCAAACCUGAAAGGUAUCUGGGGCCAUAUCCUAGCUCAGCUACUUAGUAGUUAAAUGAACUCAAUGGUUCAGUCAUCAGUAUAAGGUCAAGAGAGAGAGAGAGAGAGGGAGAGGGAGAGAGAGAGAGAGAGAGAUUUCCCUUCUGGCUUGCUUCCCAAAUGGUCACAGCUGCUGGGGCUCAGCCCAGGAGCUGGGAACUCAAUCCGGGUUUCCCACAUGCCUGGCAGAGACCUAAGCAACUGAACCUGCUGCCUCUCAGGGACGUGUAUUAGCAGAAAGCUGGAAUCUGGAGCAGAGCCAGGACUCAAACCCAAGUACUGUUAUAUGGGAUCAGGAUGCCCCAAGUGGCGUCUUUACUGACCAAACGCCUUCCCCUGGCAUUUGUAUUUGGAGCCAAGAAGAGAACCGGGAGAUUUCAUGGCAUGUGAGGUGCCAGCAAGGCUAGGAGUGGCUGACAAGCCCCAUUUGUAACAAGAGCUCUCACUCCAGGCUGUAGCUGCGGUCCCCGGAGUCCUGGGCUGUACGAAACUCCACCUCCACGGCAGCCUCUGUCCAGCCCUGUGUGUGGGGAAAGGCACUGGAGUGUGAAUGGGGGGCCCAGGGUUCCAGGCUAGAGCUCACACACACUUCCCAAGGCCUGAGGUCUGCAAUUAUGCUAGUGAUUGGAUCAUAAAAGCUGAUCUCUUGAGUAAAUUAUUUUCCUUCUAUGAUCUCCCCACGAAUUCUAUUAUAGAGACCACUGCCGCCUUGGCUGUUAAUUAUGUGAUUGGGAGUCAGAAUGAAUGGAUAUAACACGAGCUAACAUCCCCGCAGCACCACAGCCUCAUGAAUCAAGUCUCAGCGCAGCCUCAGGGGCCCCACCAUCUCGGGAGGAUGCUGAGCCUCAGCCUGGCUACUCAUUCUCACAUUUGCUUCACAGAUACGGAUUGAGCCUGACCUUGAGUUGGGCUCCACCUGGGCUGGAGGCAGGGUAGACAGAAAUCAUGAAGACAGAGGUUUCAUCCCUACAGGGUCAGCCUCAGUGUUUCCAAAGCAGAAACACCAACCUCUUCCCCCACCACACCUCCAAAACCUUCAGCCAGGUAAGGCCCAGCCUUGGGACAGCACUCAACUUCUCAUGGCUGCAGCCAUCACUGUAGUGCAUCUACUUCUGUCCCUUCCUGCCUCCAUGGCCCAGUCCCUUAUUUCUCAGGGGAAGAAUUUUAGGGGGCUCUUUCUCCUCCUUUCCCUAUCUUGGUCCCCACAAGUGCCGCUGCUCAGGGAGGGGCUGUAGUGCACACCUGGGCCUCUGUCUGCCCUCUGGCUUGCUUCUCUUCGCUGGACGACUGGUUUGCUUGUGUUUUGUUGGUGGGCAGUGUUCCUGGGGCUUUUCCUUAUGUCUUUUUGGUCUCUUCAUAGGACUCAAGGGACUUGGUCCUCAGCCCAUGCCUGAGCAGUGCAUGUGAGAUGACUGGAUUUGGGGAGGGAGUAAGAGGCCUCCACUUUGGCCUCAGUCCUAUUUGGAUUUGCCAUUCCAGGUUUGCCUGAGAGUUCUCUGUUUCGGCCAUUAAUCACCCUGAUUGUCCAGUUCCCUUCAUGUGUCUGUGUGUGCUGCUCAGCUACAGGGGAAGAAGGGCAGAUGCAAGUAUUCUGGCUGAAUCUUUCCAAACCAUAGAGGGAGAGAGGGUAAGGGGCUUGCUGCAGGUUGUGAGGGCUCUUGGCGGGGGUGGGACUUGCAUUCCGGUCACCUGGCUCUUGACCUAAUGCUCUUCUUCCACAGCUCCCCUCUUCAGCAGGGCAGACCCAUUGGUGCUCUGCUUGUUGUAAAGAGGAUACAGCUCUGUAGACACAGUGAUAAAAGUAAGGGCCCUGGACCAGAGAGAACUGGGUUUCCAAAUUCUAAAUCUCUCAUCUCUCCUUGAAGUAUUAGGAUGGCCAUUAAUUGAGAUACUUUUUAUUUUUAAGAUUCAUUUGUUUAUUUGAAAGGCAGAGUUACAGAGAGGCAGACAGAAAGAGACAGAGAGAGGUCUUCCAUCCACUGGUUCAUUUCACAAAUGGCUGCAAUGGCUGGACUUGGACCGAUCUGAAGCCAGGAGCCAGGAGCUUCUUCCAGGUCGCCCACACGGGUGCAGGGACCCAAGUACUUGGGCCAUCCUCUGCUGUUUUCCCAGGCAUUGGAUUGGAAGCAGUGCAGCCAGUACUCAAACUGGCACUCUGAUAUGAAAUGCUGGCAUCUCAGGUGGUGGCUUAACACUCUGUGCCAUAACGCCAGCCCCAAAUUGAAAUAAUCUAUGCAAGGUGCACAGUGCAGUGCCUGGGAUGGAAUAACUGCUCAAUAAAUGUCACCUAUUUUCAUCUCAAACCAAAUGAAGCUAUACAAAGAUCUUCAAGUCAGACAAAAAUCCUGUCCCAGGGAGAGGAAAAUGGAAUCCAGCUGAUGUAAGGUGGCAGCUGAGCCGUUCUCCUAAUGAACAGGGUGCUGGCUGUGUUUUCAAGGAGUGGCAAUCCCCGUUGGGAAUUCACCUGGUUAACAUAACAGUUCCCUCCUGGCUGUGCAGCCCAGGCUGAACGCUCUCAGUGUCUCCAUCUAGAACACUGCAGGCCCUCAUAUCUAUAAAUAGGGAGGAAGUCAUAAAUGAGAGCUCAUUAAGUUCUUACUGACUGCUGAAAAGUAAAUUAGAAAAAAUAAACAGAGCUGAACAUUUGUGUAAGCCUCAAUCUUUUUGAUGUUUUUCAAUUAGCAGAGCCAUUUUUCAUCUGAAAAAUUAAUGGCUGUCAUGUGCCACCUGGCUACAGAAUCAAGUGACAAAUUCGUUUUAAUGACCGCUGUAGAAUCUUGGGAUUCAGCAGGGCAUGACGAGUUACAGGCCAUCUGGGCCCGGAGGAAGUACAAGGAAGUGACCUUUAGGGAGACUGCCCAUGUGCCAGGCACGGUGUUAGGUCACAGUGCAACCAUUCCUUGAAUGUCCUCCACGGCCCAGUGAAGCUGUUGUUAUCCAAAUUUUAAUGAUGAGGCUCAGAGAGGUCAGGAAGCUUGCUGAAGGUCACGCGGUCCAUGGGCAGGGUUAUCUGAUGCACAGUCUCUGUUCCACCAGACCACUGUCUGCAGAGGGAGAAAGACUGGCCAGACACGUGGGGGUGUCUGGGAACUGCUGGCAGGCAGGUUGCAGCAGGCACAAGGCUGGAAUGAUGCCGUGUGGCUUGAAGUAGGCAGUGUGUGGCAGUGGGGUCGCUGGUGUCAGAGGAGACCGGAUUCUGCCUCCCUGAAUAACAGAUCAUGUGGCCCCAAACUGGGGCUCCAAGAGGCCCCAUUCUCUGGGAGGCAGCCAAGUAAGAGCAAGGUAGGGCACAGGCAGGAUGGUGUUCAGAAGACACGGCAGUUGGCAGGUGCUCAACAAAGACUAAUGUGGUUUAUAAGCAAGAGACAAGAGGCAGAGGCUACCUCCAUCGCUGUGGCAACUCCAGCAGGGUGUGGGUGGCAGCCAGGCAGGCAGAUGCUGAGCUGACAACUUGUGUGUGGAGUUGCCUUCCUUCUGGAGCGGGAGGGCAGGAGAGAACCUGCACGUGGAGUCAAGAGCCUCAGCGUGGGUGAAGCUGGGAGUCAGGCAGGGGCUGGCCACUGUGAUGCCAGCUUUCAGUGAUUGUGGGAUGGUCCUUUCUGUGCAUAAUCUUUGAUGCUGCACCACCAGGAGAUAGUCACCACGUCCCCUUCUGUGGGUGAGGAAGCAAGAGAUCAGAGAGGUGAGGUAACUUGCUUAGAGGCACACAGUUACCAGGGGGCAGAGUAAAAGCCAAAUCCAGAGACCUGUGCUGCUGUCCCUCCCCUUGCUGCUUCCUGAUGUUCCUGCUCAACACCGAUGCUGACUUUCUCCAUCUUCUCCUUCCUCCCUGGUGGCCUGGCUCUUACUUACUGGACAUUGUCAUGUAGAGAGAUCACAUCUUGGUGCUGGGGGCAAGUCUGAGUGAUGCUGGUGCUGAACUCCUUACUAUUCUGAAGAUGAGGCCGCUGAAUCUGAUGUUUGCAGCAUGUCUUCUCUCUUGGAUCCACAAUUGGUAAGAGAAGCAAAAAGAACCUGCCAAAGUGAUCCUCUAAUUUAACUUAAUUUAUUUUAAACUAUUUAUUUAUUUGAAAGGCAGGCCACCAGCAGCAG